rnacentral:sRNA from 1 species
AGUGACACCCUCAAGCCGGGCCUUCCUGACCUCACAUGACAUGCCUUAGUGAACUGCUGCUUCUCCGUGAAGGAUGAGUCGGGGAGGGGCUCGCAGGCCAGGAGGACAGUGCCUGAGCCCCUGGUCUCUGCCUCCAGUUCUGCAGGAAUUCUCCAAGGAGGAGCGAGACCCAGUGAAAACUCAUGAAGGCUGGGGGGUGAUGUUGCCCUGUAACCCACCUGCCCACUACCCAGGCUUGUCCUACCGCUGGCUCCUCAACGAGUUCCCCAACUUCAUCCCGACGGACGGGCGUCACUUCGUGUCCCAGACCACAGGGAACCUGUACAUUGCCCGAACCAAUGCCUCAGACCUGGGCAACUACUCCUGUUUGGCCACCAGCCACAUGGACUUCUCCACCAAGAGCGUCUUCAGCAAGUUUGCUCAGCUCAACCUGGCUGCUGAAGAUACCCGGCUCUUUGCACCCAGCAUCAAGGCCCGGUUCCCAGCAGAGACCUAUGCACUGGUGGGGCAGCAGGUCACCCUGGAGUGCUUCGCCUUUGGGAAGUGAGUGUGAAGAGGGAGGGGAAGCAGGGCACGGUCUCUCGGGGGCACAGGUGACCCCAGGGUGAGGGCAGGCAGAGUCAGGGCUCUUAUCUUGGUGUCCCUCACAGGGUCUAGCAAAGUACUGGGCACACAGUGGGUAUCGACCACCACUCACUGGACAGUAACUCUCUGGGUGAGGCAUCGCAUAUGCCAGGGGCCUUCCAUGGCCAGGAUCACUUGGUCUUCCAGCAGUGCAUGGCAGGCUCAGACAGCUUGAGUAACACCCAGGGCUGGAGGCAGGCAGCACAGUGUACAGACUCCAACCCUGUCUGUCUCAUUCAGAUCCCAGCUCUGCCACUCGCAGACCUUGGGUAAACUGCCUAACCUCUCUGUGCCUCAGUUUCUUUAUGGUGGUGAUAAUAGUACCUACCUCAUAGGGUUGUCAUGAGGAUUAAAUCAGUUCAUAUAUGUGAGAUACUUAGAACAGUGCCUGGAAUUUAGUUAAGUGUUCCGUGAAUGUUAACAGUGAUCUAUUUGAGAAUAGCAGCAGAAAGUGUUCUCUUUCUCGUACUCCUAGAAGAAGGAUUCUCUAGAACAGGGCUAAGCAAAUAGCAGGUGCUCAAUAAAUGUUUGUAGUAUGAAAGAAAGAAUGUGAUUUGUACUUUGGCCCCCUCCUCCCUCAACUAUCUCCUAUGGUUACCUGGGAGAAUCUCUGCCUUGUGGGAAGUUUUGGGCUUCCAGAAAAUCCACAUGAAAAGCAUGUGGAAGGGGGGCCAGGUGCGGUGGUUCAUGUCUGUAAUCCCAGCACUUUGGGAGGCUGAGGUGGGAAGAUCAUGAGGUCAGGAGAUCGAGACCAUCCUGGCUAGCACGGUGAAAUCCAGUCUCUACUAAAAAUACAAAAAAAACUAGCCAGGUGUGGUGGCAGGUGCCUGUAGUCCCAGCUGCUCGGGAGGCUGAGGCAGGAGAAUGGUGUGAACCCGGGAGGCAGAGCUUGCAGUGAGCCGAGAUUGCCCCACUGCACUCCAG